rnacentral:rRNA from 1 species
ACUCCUACGGGAGGCAGCAGUGGGGAAUAUUGCACAAUGGGCGCAAGCCUGAUGCAGCCAUGCCGCGUGUAUGAAGAAGGCCUUCGGGUUGUAAAGUACUUUCAGCAGUGAGGAAGGUGGGUAGUGUUAAUAGCAUAUUCUAUUUGUACGUUAGCUGCAGAAGAAGCACCGGCUAACUCCGUGCCAGCAGCCGCGGUAAUACGGAGGGUGCGAGCGUUAAUCGGAAUUACUGGGCGUAAAGCGCAUGCAGGUGGUUGUUAAGUCAGAUGUGAAAGCCCGGGGCUCAACCUCGGAAUUGCAUUUGAAACUGGCAAACUAGAGUACUGUAGAGGGGGUAGAAUUUCAGGUGUAGCGUGAAAUGCGUAGAGAUCUGAAGGAAUACCGGUGGCGAAGCGGCCCCUGGACAGAUACUGACACUCAGAUGCGAAAGCGUGGGAGCAAACAGGAUUAGAUACCCCGUGUAGGUCAGU